UCCACAAGCCAGAGGUGCUGGUUGGUUUCUUGUCUCUGAAAAAGGCAUGUUGGGGCGGGAAAGGUUUCCGGUGGAAAGCGAGGUUUUCGUUGGAAGAGGACGGCCGUACGGGUCCUCAGCCUGGAGAGGAGGUAGCCAGGCCGCGCCACAGGCCUCUCCGAGCCAAAGCAGUGGGAGCUGGGCUGGAGGUUUUGGAGGGAUCGUUUGUCGGGAGCUUCCGGACUCCCUGGGAAAGGCUGUUGCCCAUGUGGAGAGUUUAUGUGGGCGUAAGAGAGACUGGGUAGGAACUAGAAAGAGAAAGUAGUUGAAGGCUGUUAAAUGACUGCGUCAGGCUCAGAAAACAUCAUGAGCUGAAAAUAGCAAGAGGCUUGGACAGACGUGUUUGCUGUGCUUUUGGUUUUCUAUUGAUGUUUGCAAAUAGCUGAGACUGGAGGUGGAAAUAGAUGGAUCUCUGUGCCAGCUAAUCUUGGAACUGUGCUAGCCUGCUUGUAAUAGAUACGCUACUAUAACGGAGAUGCCCCUGUACUGGUGUCAUGGUUUGAGCCCAGCCAGCAGCUAAGUACCACGCAGCCACUUGCUCACCUUCCCCCACCAGUGGGAUGGGGUGGAGAAGCAGCGGGAAUAAAAGAACAAACAAGCAGCAGUUAGACACCAGGUGGUGCUGAAGACCAGCUAGAAAAGAAAGUGAGAGUGCAAGGGGUGUUCAGAAAGAGCAAGAAGCAAGAAGCAAAGGACUCCAUUUCUUAUUUCAGUUAAUUAGGAGCAACAUACAUUAACAUCAGUGGUAUGGCACAAUUAGGAACAAAACCAUUUCAGAGAGUGUGAGCUACAAAGGAUGGUUCAAUUACAUUCACCAUCUAUUUAAUGCUAAGUAUUAUUUUCUUCUACAUGAACCAUGAAAUCCAAAGGGAUGAUAAAUAAAUGUGUACCCAGUCUCGACAGUAGUAAUCACCUCAGAGAUAAAGUAAUCUCUGUCACUGAAGGAGACAGUGGCUGCAGUGAGUACUUGCCAGCUCCGCAGAUCCACCUGGGCAGAUCUAUGGUAAUACAGGCAAUUUACCAUCUAACCUAUUUAUUCUUUCUUCCUACUUCUCAAGAAGCAACCUGGAGCCAGGCUUGCAGAGCUCCCUGUGGGAUCUCAGAUCCUUUUCAGCCCUAGGGCCAUGCCACUUUUGUAGCAGCUCACAAAACAUUCUUCUCUUGCAGUGAGAAUUCACUUUCAACCGUGCCUGCUACCAAUAGGUUUCCAAAGCACAGCCAAGUAUUUCAGCCUGCUAGCACACUGUCUGUGCCAGUGCGAUGUAUGCACAAACUGUCUUUGUUGAUUUAGUUUCCUAGAGGUAGCGUAAAACAGCAGUGCAACCUAGAAAAAUGAUCCACUAACCAGAAGGAAAGCUGGGAAUGGAAAAAAGGGCUCAGUUGUGGCAUUCCCUGAAGGAACUAGUAAGAAAUGAAAAGGGAUCAGAAGGAAAGAAAAAGCUAAUAAAGAGAAUGAUAUAACAGAGAAAGCUUUU